UACGAAGGGUGCAAGCGUUACUCGGAAUUACUGGGCGUAAAGCGUGCGUAGGUGGUGAGUUAAGUCUGAUGUGAAAUCCCCGGGCUCAACCUGGGAAUGGCAUUGGAUACUGGCUCGCUAGAGUGCGGUAGAGGGUGGUGGAAUUCCCGGUGUAGCAGUGAAAUGCGUAGAGAUCGGGAGGAACAUCUGUGGCGAAGGCGGCCACCUGGACCAACACUGGCACUGAGGCACGAAAGCGUGGGGAGCAAACAGG
rnacentral:rRNA from 1 species